rnacentral:pre_miRNA from 1 species
CAGUGUGAAGAAAUGAGGCUGUCAUGCAUGAUCUAACAGUGAUUUACUAGCACAAAUUAAGCAUACAUCAGAUCUGACGAUUAGUCAGCCGACUGUACACGAACAGUGCCGAUUAAUCAGAGCUAGAUCAUGCUGGCAGCUUCACUCAUUCACACG